AGAGUUUGAUCAUGGCUCAGGGUGAACGCUGGCGGCGUGGAUAAGGCAUGCAAGUCGAACGGGUUUAGACCCGUGGCAAACGAGGUAGUAAGGCAUAGGAAUCUGCCAUUGAGUCAGGGAUAUUCCAUCGAAAGAUGGCGCAAUACCUGAUGGUCUCUACGGAGUAAAGAUUUAUCGCUCAAUGAGGAGCCUGUGUAGUAUCAGCUUGUUGGUAGUGUAACGGACUACCAAGGCUAUGACGCUUAGGGGAGCUGAGAGGCUGACCCCCACCGAUGGAACUGCGACACGGUCCAUACUUCUACGGAGGGCAGCAGCCGAGAAUAUUCCGCAAUGGACGCAAGUCUGACGGAGCGACGCCGCGUGGUGGAUGAAGUCUUUCGAGACGUAAACACCUUUUAUGGAGGAGGAAAUUUUGACGUUACUCCAUGAAUAAGGGGCUCCUAACUCUGUGCCAGCAGGAGCGGUAAUACAGAGGCCCCAAGCGUUACCCGGAAUCACUGGGCGUAAAGGGUACGUAGGUGGUUGUAUUAGUCUUUAGUGAAAUGCUCUGGCUCAACUGGAGCGAUGUCUAAAGAAACGGUACGACUAGAGGAUGUAAGANGUAUGCGGAACUCAUGGUGUAGGGGUAAAAUCCGUUGAUAUCAUGGGGAACACCAAAUGCGAAGGCGGCAUACUGGGACAUUCCUGACA
rnacentral:rRNA from 1 species